AGCGAACGCUGGCGGCAGGCUUAACACAUGCAAGUCGAACGGGCAUCUUCGGAUGUCAGUGGCAGGCGGGUGAGUAACACGUGGGAACGUACCCUUCGGUUCGGAAUAACUCAGGGAAACUUGAGCUAAUACCGGAUACGCCCUUUUGGGGAAAGGUUUACUGCCGAAGGAUCGGCCCGCGUCUGAUUAGCUUGUUGGUGGGGUAACGGCCUACCAAGGCGACGAUCAGUAGCUGGUCUGAGAGGAUGAUCAGCCACACUGGGACUGAGACACGGCCCAGACUCCUACGGGAGGCGGCAGUGGGGAAUAUUGGACAAUGGGCGCAAGCCUGAUCCAGCCAUGCCGCGUGAGUGAUGAAGGCCUUAGGGUUGUAAAGCUCUUUUGUCCGGGACGAUAAUGACGGUACCGGAAGAAUAAGCCCCGGCUAACUUCGUG
rnacentral:rRNA from 1 species